AUGGCCAGAGGCGGGCGGCGCGGCUUCCUGAGGAGCCUAGGGCGGCCAUGCAGGAGAGGGAGGCGCAGGCGGGAGGAGGCGCCGAGGCGGACGUGUGAGGGGGCGGCCACGGCGGUGCUGGUCGCCGGCAUCAGGACGCGUGGCCCGAGGGCAAGUAGCAAGGGCGAGGAAGGCAGCAACAGGCGCGGGGAAGGGCAGAAAUGGAGGAAGGGGGCCGCGCGAAGGCCGUCGCGCUCGCCGGAGUAG
rnacentral:rRNA from 1 species